rnacentral:rRNA from 1 species
AUACGAAGGGUGCAAGCGUUACUCGGAAUUACUGGGCGUAAAGCGUGCGUAGGUGGUUGUUUAAGUCUGUCGUGAAAGCCCUGGGCUCAACCUGGGAAUGGCGAUGGAAACUGGGCGACUAGAGUGUGGCGGAGGGUAGUGGAAUUCCUGGUGUAGCAGUGAAAUGCGUAGAGAUCAGGAGGAACAUCCGUGGCGAAGGCGACUGCCUGGGCCAACACUGACACUGAGGCACGAAAGCGUGGGGAGCAAACAGGAUUAGAUACCCUGGUAGUCCACGCCCUAAACGAUGCGAACUGGAUGUUGGGUGCAAUUUGGCACGCAGUAUCGAAGCUAACGCGUUAAGUUCGCCGCCUGGGGAGUACGGUCGCAAGACUGAAACUCAAAGGAAUUGACGGGG